rnacentral:rRNA from 1 species
GCGAGGCCGAAAGGCGUAGUCGAUGGGAAACGGGUUAAUAUUCCCGUACUUCUUACAAUUGCGAUGGGGGGACGGAGAAGGCUAGGUGGGCCUGGCGACGGUUGUCCAGGUUCAAGUGCGUAGGCUUAAGAGUUAGGUAAAUCCGGCUCUUUUUAAGGCUGAGACACGACGUCGAGCUACUACGGUAGUGAAGUCAUUGAUGCCAUGCUUCCAGGAAAAGCCUCUAAGCUUCAGAUUGUAAGGAAUCGUACCCCA